UAUUAAAAAUUUUAUCCAUUUAUAUUGUUAAAAAUUGUCGUGGUUGAUGGAAUAACCAUAUAAUGACACGUGUUUGCCAUAAAAUAACCAGUUUUUAACAAUAAAAAUAGAUAGAAUUUUUAACA
rfam:Gossypium hirsutum cultivar TM-1 chromosome 13, whole genome shotgun sequence